UACGGAGGGUGCAAGCGUUGUUCGGAAUCAUUGGGCGUAAAGCGCGUGUAGGCGGCUUUUUAAGUUUGGUGUGAAAGCCCGGGGCUUAACCCCGGAAGUGCACUGAAUACUGAUUAGCUAGAGGGUGAGAGAGGAUAGUGGAAUUCCUGGUGUAGGGGUGAAAUCCGUAGAUAUCAGGAGGAACAUCAGUGGCGAAGGCAGCCUUCUGGGCCAACACUGACGCUCAUGCACGAAAGCGUGGGGAGCAAACAGG
rnacentral:rRNA from 1 species